ensembl:snoRNA SNORA74 Small nucleolar RNA SNORA74
UCCAGCAGUUGUCAGCUGCUCAGUGCAGUUCUGUGCCUGUGCUAGUGUUACACUGCUGGGAGAGAAAUGUGCCAUCAGAGUUACCUGGUACUGCUGGUACUGUUCUAGUGCCCAUCAGUGCCAGGUUUUGAUAGCACCUUGCAUCCUUGAGAGUGGAAUAAUUCUCUGUAGAGUUAGUCCUAGACUGGAUGCGAACAGA